GCCACUUCUCCAAUCACUUUACAUUUAGCCUGGGGAUCAUUUCCAACAGGUACAGCUGUUGACCAUAGAAUGCCAUUCUUGAAUUCUGUGAAUUCAGGAAAACAUGGGUGACCUGAGCCACGUGUCCAUUCUGAGAAAAGAGGCUGACAGCUUCUCCUGAUCUCUAAGCAGCAGAAAUUCCAGAGGGCAACAGCUGCUAGGGCCCUGACCCUGAACUUGUCAACUUCUUCCCUACCCUCCCACCUCCUUCCUCCUUGCAUACCAGCCAAAGGUAGCUUUCUGCUUCAGUUUUUUUUGGUAAAGAGCCUCAGAGAGGAGCAUUUGAGCACCUACUCCGGCCAGAAAGACCACUGACAUCUGGGCACCGAGGGCCUUGGAAAUGAGACCGUCAUCUAGACUUAUCCAGAGAGGUUGCUACCCUUCCCAUUCUCCCUAAAAAGAUCUGCGGUCUUUCUUAGAGGCUAACACCCUCUGCUGGUCCAGAUGAUUCGUACUCACUCAGAUGCUGAAGCAAAUGAUCUUUGUCGCCAGGGAUAUCUGAAAGGCGUAAUAUUGUACACUCUGGGGGCCAACUUCCCCCCGAAUGAUUAUAUUUCAUUUUCUCCCUGCCACCGAACACAUCUUCCUAAGGACCAGGUUAGUAAGUGGCUCUCCCAGGGACAGCUCUGCAUAAGUGGGAUGGUGUUUACGACGAUGAUGAUCGUCACUCCAGCCCCUAGGACGUUUGAGAAACAAAAAUAAGCUUUGCAAGUUGCCUAUAGCUUCUGCGGACUCAGCAGGCCCCUGCUGGGACCAAUCAAGAGCUGCCUUUGGAAGAGAUCCGGCCUCAUUCUUUCCAAAGUACCGAUUGGCUUUGAGGAAUGGGCGGGGCUGCUGCCUCCUGUCCGGCUUCCCAUAGGUGAAGGAAAGUUAAGGUGGGCCCCCAGCGAGAUUUUUGUCCCGGGACGACGAGGACAGUCCUGGGGAUUUUUUUUUCCCCCUGCUUUGGAGGCCCUGGGCUCAAGGCAAAUUAUAAGUGGGAAACCAAUUGGAAGGAAAGAAAUUUGAACCGAGUUAAGGUGCCAGAAAGAGAAGCAGCCCUAUCUGAAGUCUGCAUCUGCCGCUGACAAACUUGGGGGGGGGGGGGGGGGGGCUGUGUUAAGGGAAGGGGGUUCAGCAAGCACAGGUAGAGGAGAGGCCGGUACGGCCCCAACAGGCCAUCAGAGAGCGGCAAAAUGAUGGAGGGCCCUAGAAAGAAGUCACUCUAGAGGUAACCGCACGAAGGGGGACCCGCUAUGCCUCGGCUCACGAUCCUUUCCCGCUCCCUUUCUGCUGGGCGCAAAACCAUGCUCACCAAUCCCACCUAAACAAGGAGGCAAGGAGCCCAGCCUUUUGUGCAAACGGGAGCUGUAACUGCCCUCCUUUUCUGCCCCCAAGACAAGAGAGGACUCUUGGAAGCCGAGAAGGCUUUGAGAAGUCCUUUCCGGACUGAGCCGUCGCCGGAGGCCCCUGGCGGCCCGCCCGCGCACAGAGGUCCACGAUGGGCCUGCUGCAGGGCCUUCUCCGGGCGAGAAAGCUGCUGCUCGUUAUCUUCGUGCCGCUGCUGCUGCUGCCUCUGCCCAUGCUCCACCCCAGCAGCGUGAGUACCGCCUGUCCCCGCCUGUCCCCUCCGGUCCCUGCCGGGCCGGGCGUCGGGUGCCAGGGCGGGGACGGCGAGGGAUGGGGUGCGACGCGUCUCUCGACAGGGUUUUCUCCGGGGCUCAAGGCCUGCACGUGCCUUUCUGGGGUAGGCUCAAAUGCUUUCUUCCCCCAAACUGCCACUUCUGUCCCUCUACCCCGUUCCCAGGGCCCCAGCCGCGUGGCCCCCUGCCAGGGGGGGGGAGUCUGGAAGGGCGGCCGGACCGGCGGGUGGGUGCUACACCAUCCCUGGGGCGCCCGAACUGGCCACGGGACGCGCGCGGUGUCCAUACGGAGAAGGACACGCUGCUGGGCCAGCGUUUGUCCGGGGUCACAUGGGACCAUCUUCCUGUGAGGGAGCUGGAGAGAGGGAGACCUCCCAGGAAGGACCCUGAGGGGGUGGGGGGUGGGGGCAAUGGGCAGGCAGGGGACUGCCCUUCGGGACUGGGGUGUCUCUGUGGAGACCCUCUGCCCCACCCACCAUCUGUGGACGGGCCAUGCCAGCUUCUGAUAACCAUGCUUUGAAAUGCAAUCGCUCAAGUUCCCUCUGAACUUCACAUUCAAAGCAGAGCUUGGCAUAUUGCCCCAGUCCCCAGCGCAUGGCCCUUUGAUUAUUCGUAUCCGCUGUGUUUUCUCCGUGCCCUUGAAGGGGGGGCAUUCAAUGACGCCAUAAAAAAGAAAUAAGGAAGCCCCCAACUCUAGCCCAUGACCUGAUUUUUGACAGGGUCUGCACGAACAGAGAUACCGAAAGCUCAGGCUCUGCCUUUGGCUUGCUUUUCAGACCACUGUUGGCCUCCCUUUCCCUUUCUGUCUCCCUCCUCCUCCUCCCCCUCCUCUCGGGGUCUCUACCCCGCCUCCAGCUGCCACUACCCUUAAAACUUCAGGAAAAAUAAGCUAAGAGAGGUUAAUCAUGUUUGUGGGAGGGGGAGAGAUUUUCCAGGCAGCUCCCUGAGUAACUUGGUAACCGACAUUGAGUUAUAAAGUUAAAUAGAGGGGAUUAGAGUGGCUCGUCUUAAAAACAAACUGGCUUAAAUCUUUACUAGAAUAAAUACCCCAGAGUGCCAAGGAGACGCUGAUUAACAGCAGGCUGGGAUUAGCAGACAGUGAUUGCUGCUGACAGUUUUCCUGGGCUUACACCAGUCAAUUCUCUGAUCUGUCCAAAUGGGUUGGUUUUUCCUUCCUUCCUUCCUUCCUUCCUCCCUUCCUUCCUUCCUUCCUCCCUCCCUCCCUUCCUUCCUUUCCUUCCUUCCUUUCCUUUGUUUCUUUGUUUUUCUUCUUGGUUUGUUGUUGUUGUUGUUUUACUCAAUGUCAGAUUGCAUUUAAGGGAGUGUUAACCAAAGACAUGUCGCCCUCUUCUCCAUGGAAGUAUCAGGCACCUCUGUGGCCCCGAGUCAGCCCUGUGUUUGGAGACCACGAGUCUAGAGUGUGGUGUUGCCUCCAUUUCAUUCUGGGGCCCUGGCUUUGAGCUUCUGAGUCACCAAUGACAGUAAGAAGCAUCCACAAGAAGAAAAAAGUAACCCAUUAUUGAAGCAAGCAAAAUAAUCAAUAAAUUCGAAGGAAGACAGGUGUUAUCUUAAAGAGGAAAGAAAAGGAAGGGCAGCUGGGCCUCUGCUCUGUUUGGAUCUGUAAAGAUUCUUCGAAGAGAUUUUUAAAGCUGGACUUACUGAGACCAAGAGACGUUGCCCUUUCUUGACCUAGCCCCUUCUGUCACCUUAGAACAGGGUUUCUCGACAGCCACACUAGUGACAUUUGGGGGCCAGAUAAUUCUCUGUUGUGGGGAGGGCUGUCCUGUGACUGUAGGGAGUUCAGCAGCACCCCUGGUCUUUACCCAUUAGAGGCUAGCAGCACACACUGCCAACCCCAUGAUGGCCAAAAAUGCUUCCAGAUAUUACCAAUACCCCUGGGGCGGGGUACAGAAUCACCCCCUGCUGAGAACAAGUGCCUUUUAAGAAAGGUGACAUAACACUACCCCAGGCACCUGGGUUAGGGGAGGGUGGAUAGUUUGACUCCCUCCCUCGGGACAGCCAGAUGGAGCCUGGGGUGGUCCAUGCCUUUCAGGAGUAGCUUUCUUGCCAUCUACCCACUUUGCCCUGCAGAGACGAUUUCUCCGUGUGUCACAGUGUCAACAAGGGCUCUGCUCCUCUUCUACGAUGACAUAAAAGCACCUUGAGGUCACCGGAACAAGCCAACACAUAGAACGUCUCUGACCCAUUCUUACUCCUGUGCAUUAAACUUUUAGACUCUGAUAUUUAAUCCUCAGGAUUCCUAAAUGGACCUGUUUGCCCUGGGCGGGAGCUGAGAGGAGGGACCCGGCCAGGAGCUCCUGGCCUGCUGUUCUGAUGAUUCUUCAAAGUGCCAAGCCACAGCUACGUUUUAGGAAGGAUUAGAAGGACCUUCCCCUUUUUCCUGACCAGCUCUCUAAAACCAGGGGCCCAGACUCAGUUUACCAUGUUACAGAAGAGGAGGGGACAAGGCGGGGGUGGGGGUCGUCCAUAAAUUAGCCCCGCUUCAGUGUCCCUGGUGGGAUAAAAGUUACACCCAAGCCCCAGCUUAAUUGCAGAAAGGCGUCACAGCCAUCUAUGACAGCAAAGAAGACCUCAAGCCCCUUCCAGUCAAGUCUGAAUGGCACAUCACUGAGGUGACCGGGCAGCAUGGAAAAGGAACAGAUGCACACAUCAGGUGGUAGCAGAGUCAGGAAACUUCCAAUGUGGGUAAAGCCACUUUUGAGCUUUUGAGCUUCCUCCUUUAUUUAUAAAAGGCAGCAAAACAGAGCUGGCAACACUCUCCUUUAAAGGCACCGCCUGCAUACUCAUCCGCCCCUACAUACCUGCUGACUAGCGGCAGUGAUAAGGGACCUAGGGUUUCCAGAAUAUUCUCUCCGAUAGAUAAGAGAAACCUGAUAGCCAACAGAGGAACCCAGUUCAGUUCAACCAAUAUUAAUUGAGCCACCUGCCAGACCUUGGCCAGAUGCGGGGUCCCAGGAGUCCUAUAAUCAAACCUCACAAGAUUUGGGGGGUUAUCUAAAUAUAAGCUUACCCACUGAACUUUGAGAAGGUUCAGAAGGAGCAAAAGGAAGUUUAUGUAAAUUCCAUGGGUGAAGUGGGCAAGAAAUAUGGAAAGGCCAAUCGGAGGCCCUCUCUUGCCCAUUCUCCUGCUCUAAGGAAAGUUCAGGGAAAAAAGGAUGAUGGUAGGUUAUCCUGUUCUUUAUAAUGCUGGAUGAAGGGGCGCCUGGGUGGCUCAGUCGGUUAAGCAUCUGACUCUUGAUUUCAGCUCAGGUCUUGAUCUCAGGGUGGUGGGUUUGGGCUCUGUGCUGGGCGUGGAGCCUACUUAAAAAAAAAAUCCUGGAUGAAAGUGGUUUGCUGACUUCCUCCAAGCCAACCCAUCCUAAUUCCUAAAUUUACCUUGGCUUACCCAAAUCUUCCUAAUUCAAACUAAAAUGCUGCCUGGUAGAGUUUUUUCUCUAUCAUUCUUUCUCUUGGUCUGUCACCCCUUCCCACUGCAGCCCCUUCCCUCCCUAACUUAAUUUGUGGCUCUGUUAUGACAAGAAAAACCGAAAGUUCCCAGUGAGGGAGAGAUAUUCUGUCCCAUCGUUAGGGCCCCCUUUAUCUUCAGCUGAGUUACGGGAGACCUGCCAUUCUGUUUCUCAGAAAAGAGAUGGAAAUAAGUGGGCCCAAGUAAGGUAAAGGGCUUCUUUGGGUAGUUUUGUUUCUGCAACAAAGUUGGUAUUUCUCUAAAUUGCAUUAUUUUCCAAUGGCGCCUUCCCCCCACCCCCACCCCCCUUACUGGUUCUGUUGUCUUAUCAGUGACUUCCAAAAGUUUUAACUUCUCUCUGAUCUUUUGGCCCCAGAGGAAAUCUCAGUGGGAGCUACAGUCAACAAUUAUUGGGCCCAGUUCCCAUUUCUCAAACCCCAAGGCAGUAAUCCAUGCAUAUCAGGAGGGAACAAGGUCCCAUUCUUCCAAGCUGGGUUAAUCACUCCUGACGCCCCUCACUGAUCAUGGCGACCUUUUGUAACUUUUGUGCAAGAGUUUGAGGAGGCUUGUUCUGAACCCAAGGGAGAGAUAAACAGAACAAGAUUUGUCAGGUUUCUUGAUCACCAGCCAGCCUCAGGGUAGGUCAGACCUGAGCCCAGAUGGUUUAGAACUACGUAUAAAUUGAGGAACCCACAGCCAGCUUGCACCUUCUAUACAGUGGCCCUCCAAGUCUGUUGUUAGGGCCCUUGGAUAGUGACGUCUCCCAAGAGUAAGCCAGCGACCUUUCUCAGCACCAUUAAUCAGAAUCAUCCCGAGCAACUAGAAUUACUAAAGGCUGAGGUUAAGGAGGGCUGAUUGUUGAUAACAAUGUUGUGCCUUUUUAUUCCGUGCACACCAGUGUGGUAUAGCCAGCAAAGGAAGGAGGUUGGGGAAAACUCUCGUAAAUUUCCAGCCGUUCCCUUCCAGGUAGACAGCACUUUUUAUCCCCUAUGUCCCAUGGAUGUCUCCCUGGGCAUCAGGCAGGUGGAAUGAAGUCCCAGGGCAAUGAGAACCAGAUAAUGGUAAGGGCGAUGGUUCUCACCCCGGGACAAAUUUCCCCACUCCCACCCGGAGGGAUAUUUAGUAAUGUCUAAAGACAUUGGUUGUCACGAUGGGGAGGUGCUACUGACAUCUAGUGGGUAUAGGCCAGGGAUGCUAAACAUCUUAAUGCACAGGACAGCCCCCCACAGCAAGGAAUUAUCCAGCCCCAAAGAGGGCCAGUCUCAGAGCUCACAUCUGAAUUGGUUACACAAAUUGAUCCCUACUUUCAACUAUCCCGAGAACAUCUGCGCCCCGUCAACUCGACACCAAAAUAUCACGCUCCGUGUUAAAGCUAUGAACUCCAACUUGAGAGCGGAUGAUCUCGGGUCUGAGCACCGCAGUUAAUUGGGGUCCCCACCCUGCACAGUUUCAAGAACGAGCAGAGCUGGGACAUGGUCAGUCUGGUGGCCAUCCUGCUGCAAACCACGUGCCAGGCACCGGUCCCCCCCCAAGGAGCAGCCAUUAUUUCACAUGCCAAAGCGUGGGCCCCGCCGCGUGUCCACCAGAGGCCAGCUUUGCACACACACACACCCCCACCCAGGGCUGUGUCCUCGUGCCCAUCUUUGACUCUGGGUACCAGCUGCCUCUGCCCCCGGGUCUCGUUUGGAUUCUCAGGGGCCAUGGCUGUCCCUGUGGCUAACCGCCCACUCCCCUUCCCUUCCAGGAGGCCGCGUGUGCUUAUGUGUUGAUCGUGACUGCUGUGUACUGGGUGUCUGAGGCGGUGCCCCUCGGAGCUGCAGCCCUGGUGCCUGCCUUCCUUUACCCGUUCUUCGGAGUCCUCCGAUCCAGUGAGGU
rnacentral:lncRNA from 1 species